GCUGGCGGCGUGCUUAACACAUGCAAGUCGAACGAUGAUCCUCACUUGUGGGGGGAUUAGUGGCGAACGGGUGAGUAACACGUGAGUAACCUGCCCUUGACUCUGGGAUAAGCCUGGGAAACCGGGUCUAAUACUGGAUAUGACCUUCUGGCGCAUGCCAUGUUGGUGGAAAGCUUUAUUGCGGUUUUGGAUGGACUCGCGGCCUAUCAGCUUGUUGGUGGGGUAAUGGCCUACCAAGGCGACGACGGGUAGCCGGCCUGAGAGGGUGGACGGCCACACUGGGACUGAGACACGGCCCAGACUCCUACGGGAGGCAGCAGUGGGGAAUAUUGCACAAUGGGCGCAAGCCUGAUGCAGCGACGCCGCGUGGGGGAUGAAGGCCUUCGGGUUGUAAACCUCUUUCAGUAGGGAAGAAGCGAAAGUGACGGUACCUGCAGAAGAAGCGCCGGCUAACUACGUGCCAGCAGCCGCGGUAAUACGUAGGGCGCAAGCGUUAUCCGGAAUUAUUGGGCGUAAAGAGCUCGUAGGCGGUUUGUCGCGUCUGCCGUGAAAGUCCGGGGCUUAACUCCGGAUCUGCGGUGGGUACGGGCAGACUAGAGUGAUGUAGGGGAGACUGGAAUUCCUGGUGUAGCGG
rnacentral:rRNA from 1 species